UUUUUGCCCAGAUGACAGCGACAUCCUUUUCUUGCCCACUUUUUUUUAAACGGAAAAAGAAAAGAUAUAGCGCACAGCUGGAAACAGC
rnacentral:sRNA from 1 species